GAAAUAUUCUGUUUGUGAAUAUUCAGAACCUGCCCACAAGAGGCUAACUUAAGGUAAAAUAUUAUCACCCACUAAUAUGAGACUAUGAUUGUAAAUAUGCAUUCUGACUUAAUGUUAACAUCUCCAUAAUCCCUGCAUAACAGGUGAUUUAUCGGGAAUGCCACCACUAAAUUAUGGCUUGGUGGCAUAUUACAUUGAUCUGAGUGGCACAAUUAACAGGCGAGUGACAAUAUAAACUGUGAGACCAGCGCAGUUGGGGUAAGAACCUCGUAGACAUUUCCAUACAGGCAAUCAUAUCACAAUG